CCCAUUGAUGAUGAUGAUCUGAUCAGCUACAUCAUUGCUGGUCUUGAUGAAGAAUAUGAGCCAGUGAUCGCAUCUAUUGUCGGACAUUCGGACCAGAUCACCAUUGGAGACGCUUUACGCUUAUGCUCAGCUAAUU
rfam:Oryza brachyantha chromosome 9, whole genome shotgun sequence.